CGUGAAACACGGUAUUUUGAUUACUCCUACUACAUACAUAUGUACGUGUUUUAAAUUAAAUUUUCAGAGGUAAAGGAAUAGUAUUUGAAAAAUUAAGAGAUAAAGAUGAAGGUACCUCAUUAUAAGGCAAAUAUAAACGAUUUAAUGAAUCCCUCUGACGACUCAGCACUUGAAAGUGAUGAUCAUGCUAAUGAUGAAAUUAAUGAAAGUGAAGAUCAAGAAGAUGAAGGCAAAGAACAGGGGAUGCAAGAAUCCAAUGCAGAAGACAAUUCCCAUUUAAUGUCUGUUAAAAAGAAAAGAAAAGUUAUCAAUGAUUCUACUACCAAUACUACUACGAAAAAGAAAAAAAAAUUACAGCCUGAUUUAUAUAAACAACCAACAGUUGAAGAAUUAAAUCAACUUAGGGAGACAGAAAAUUUGUUUCAUUCCAAUUUAUUCAGAUUGCAAAUAGAAGAGAUGCUAAAUGAAAUUAGAAUUAAAGAUAAAUAUAAAUCUCUAUUUGAUGUUUGGUUUAAAAAGUUACAGAUGACUGUGGAAUCAAUGGAUGAAACAAAGCAAUAUCGGCUUGCAGAUAACAAAUUUCAACAAGAAUUAGAAGCGCAUAUUCCAAUGCCUAAUAUAAGGAAAAGAACUAAAGGGGAAUUUGAAUUUCUUAAGCCAUCAAAUAUUGUUGUAGUAGGGUCUUAUGCAUUUGAUGCUACAGUUGGCCCAAACAUUACAGUAGAUGUAAUGAUUGAAAUGCCUGCUAAAAUGUUUCACAACCAUGACUAUCAAAAUUAUAGAUACAUAAAAAAGAAGGCAAUGUAUUUGGCAUAUCUGGCAUCUAAUAUGACUGUUGAUAUUGCACAGGACAAAAAGUUUGUUGGAAAUAAUUUAAGGCCAAUGUUAAAAAUUAUACCACCUGGAAAAUUAGGUAAAAAAGUUAAUGCAUUGGUGCACAUAGCAGCCCAAGAAGAAAGCUUUUCUCUAAAUAGAUUUUUACCAGAGAAGAACAGUGUUAGACCUGAAUGGUUUUUCAAAGACAAAAAACAUGAAAACUUAUCACCUACACCACAUUACAAUUCUAUAAUCCUUCAUGAUUUAACAAUGUCAAGAAUGAAUAUAGAAACUAUGAAAAUGAUAAAAGAAUAUCCAAACUUGAGGGAUGGUAUAAUUUUACUGAAGAUAUGGUUAGCUCAGCGUGAAUUGACAAAAGAUUUUACUAGUUUCAAUGGAUAUGUCAUAACAAUGUUCACUUUAUAUUUAUUAUCCAUUAAGAAGUUGAAUACAUUUAUGAGUAGUUAUCAAAUAGUUAGGAAUGUAUGGAUUAAUUUAGUGCAAGUUAGUUGGUGUGAAACAGGAAUAACAAUGAGUCAGGAUGAGAAUAGUGAACAAAUGAUUUUGAAUUAUAAAAAAUAUUAUGACUGUGUAUUUUUAGACCGUACUGGUUAUCAUAAUAUUGCAGCAUACAUUACUAGUACUACUUUCUCAUGGGUACAACAAGAAGCAAAACUUAGUUUGAGCCAUUUAGACACUGCACAUGCUAAUAGCUUUCAAUCACUUUUCAUGAGAAAAGUGCCAUUUUACAGAGCAUUUGAUCACCUUAUAUGUUUCAAGAAUACUCAACUAUUAAAGAAUAUAGUGGAUUCUAAGUCAACUAGCAUUGACAAAUUGGACUAUGGUCCUAAUUACCGAGACCAAGCAAUAAAAAUUCUUCAUAAUGUGCUAACAAAAGGAUUAAAAGACAGAGUACAUCAAAUUUGUGUUUUACCAAAGGAAUUUGCAGAGUGGGAUUGUACAGAAGAUAUACAGGAUGAUAUUGGAAACAUUUUUAUUGGACUGGAAUUAAAUCCAGAGUUUUGUUUUAAUAUUGUUGAGAAAGGGCCUGAGGCAAAUUUGCCAGAUGCAGUUGCAUUUAGAGAGUUCUGGGGCAAAAAAUCAGAAUUACGCCGAUUUCAAGAUGGAUCUAUACGGGAAGCAGUAGUUUGGUCAAAAGGCAAAACAAUAGCAUCAAAAAGAUUCAUAUGUAAGAACAUUGUAAGUUUCGUAUUACUGAACAAAUUAGGCCUUUCUAGCGAUCAGUUUACGUACAUUGCUAAUGAUAUGGAAAAAUUGUUAACAUUAUCAAAGAUGAAAGUAACGCAUUUUGCUUACGGCACGGGCGAAGAAGCUGCUCUAAAAGUGAUAAAUGUACUUGAUAGUCUCGAAAAAGAUCUGAUGUCUCUUACAGACCUUCCUUUAUCAAUACACGGUGUUCAAGGAUCUAGCGCAGUGUUUCGAUAUACAGAUGUUUUCCCACCACUCGCGACAGUUUAUCGACCCGAUGAUAAACUUAUCGAAGAAGGAGAAAUGUGUUUAAUGUUGUCAGAAAAUGUUGAUGUAGCUCCUAAGUAUGUUUGCCCACUUGAAGUGAGCUUGCAGUUAUCAACCAGUGGAAAGUGGCCAGAUGACUUAGAAGCAUUUAGAAAAACAAAAGCUGCUUUUCAUAUACAAAUUGCAGAAUGCCUUAGACAGCAGUACACGUUAAAAGCGAAUGCAAAUUUCUCGCAUGUCGAUGUAUAUAAGGAAGGACUUGUGUUUCGGUUAAUAGUAGCACACCAAAAAGAAAUUAGUUGUUUAAAGCAACAAGUGACUGAUGACGGGGUCGUACAAUACAGAGAUAAUGAAGAUUCAAUUGAAUUGGAGAAGAAAUUGUUCGAAUUACCAAAACUAACUGGUGCUUUACAUGGUUUGUAUUCUCAACAACCAUCCUUUGGAGCUGCUUGUUGCUUAACAAAACGUUGGUUAUCUGCCCAAUUAUUAGAUGAUUCUCAUAUACCAGAUAUAGUAGUUGAGUUAUUCGUGGCUUCAAUGUACUUAACACCAGCACCAUAUAGGCCACCCCAAAUGCCUCAAGUAGCAUUCUUGAGAAUAUUAGAAAUUUUUGCAAGAGGCCAUUGGAAUACAGAUCCUAUUAUUGUUAAUUUUAAUAACGAAAUGUCUAGUGAAGAAAUCGCGGCUGUAGAAACCCUUUUCGCAUCGUCUCGCGACUCUCUGCCGCCGUUAUUUAUAUCUACUCCCUACGAUCAGCAAAAAUCAUUAUGGACUAAAAAAGCACCAACAACUCUAAUUCUAAAUCGUAUUACUAUGUUGGCAAGACAAUCGUUAAAAUUGUUCGAAGAUCAACUUCUAACAAAAGAUGCAUUAGAUGUUAAGCCUUUAUUCAGGCCACCAUUCACGGAAUACGAUUGCCUAAUACAUUUAAUGCCACAUAUGGUUCCUAGAAAACUACAGGCAAUUGACGUUAGCAAAGAAUAUCAAGUCCUCAACUGGCAUCCUUACAAAUCACAUUCAGAACAGAAGAUACCAGUUGUAGGGUUUGAUCCUGUACAAUGUUUGUUGAAAGAAUUACGAGACGGUUACAGCGAAUUUGCUCUAUUCUUUCAUGAUACUUAUGGUGGCACAGUAAUAGGAGUGUUACUGAAACCCACUGCUUUAGAAGUUAAAGAUUUUAAGGUAUCAAAUAUCAAUUGUCGAAAAUGCAACAACGACGGUCAAUUGGUUUUAAAUAUUCCCGCAAUGAUCCAAGACUUUUAUGUGCUUGGAAAGGGUCUUAUAAAAGCAAUCGAUGUUCAAUCAACAAAAUUUUCUUUAAGCUGAUGCUUUCCUUAAACCAUUUUUCUAAACUCGAAGACUACAUUUUAUAUUACUGUAAAUAAAUUGCAAAAAUAUAAAAUACGGAAAAAUAUGGACUUUUCGAAAAGAUUCGAAACAUUCAAGAUACACUAGUAACUCCAGUAAUCGAAGGUGUAACUAGACAAGAUGUUUAUUUAUGAAUAAAUGGACAACAACAAAAACGGAUACAACGCAUUUAUUUAAAUAAACACGAUAUGGCUAUGAUAUUCAUCAAGAAUAAUUCAUGACAGCUAUCUAAGGGGCCC